UGGAAUCGCUAGUAAUCGCGAAUCAGAAUGUCGCGGUGAAUACGUUCCCGGGUCUUGUACACACCGCCCGUCACACCAUGGGAGUCGGGAAUGCCCGAAGCCGGUGACCUAACCGAAAGGAGGGAGCUGCCGAAGGUGGAGCCGGUAACUGGGGUGAAGUCGUAACAAGGUAUC
rnacentral:rRNA from 1 species